rnacentral:rRNA from 1 species
GAGCGUUCUGUAAGCCGUUGAAGGUGAAUCGUAAGGUUUGCUGGAGGUAUCAGAAGUGCGAAUGCUGACAUGAGUAACGACAAAGGGGGUGAAAAACCUCCUCGCCGGAAGACCAAGGGUUCCUGUCCAACGUUAAUCGGGGCAGGGUGAGUCGACCCCUAAGGUGAGGCCGAAAGGCGUAAUCGAUGGGAAACGGGUUAAUAUUCCCGUACUUCUGACUAUUGCGAUGGGGGGACGGAGAAGGCUAGGUGGGCCAGGCGACGGUUGUCCUGGUUCAAGUGCGUAGGCUUGAGAGUUAGGUAAAUCCGGCUCUCUCUAAGGCUGAGACACGACGUCGAGCUGCUACGGCAGUGAAGUCAUUGAUGCCAUGCUUCCAGGAAAAGCCUCUAAGCUUCAGAUAGUCAGGAAUCGUACCCCAAACCGACACAGGUGGUCGGGUAGAGAAUACCAAGGCGCUUGAGAGAACUCGGGUGAAGGAACUAGGCAAAAUGGUACCGUAACUUCGGGAGAAGGUACGCUCUUGAUGGUGAAGUCCCUCGCGGAUGGAGCUGACGAGAGUCGCAGAUACCAGGUGGCUGCAACUGUUUAUUAAAAACACAGCACUGUGCAAAAUCGCAAGAUGACGUAUACGGUGUGACGCCUGCCCGGUGCCGGAAGGUUAAUUGAUGGGGUUAGCGCAAGCGAAGCUCUUGAUCGAAGCCCCGGUAAACGGCGGCCGUAACUAUAACGGUCCUAAGGUAGCGAAAUUCCUUGUCGGGUAAGUUCCGACCUGCACGAAUGGCGUAAUGAUGGCCACGCUGUCUCCACCCGAGACUCAGUGAAAUUGAAAUCGCUGUGAAGAUGCAGUGUACCCGCGGCUAGACGGAAAGACCCCGUGAACCUUUACUACAGCUUGGCACUGAACAUUGAACCUACAUGUGUAGGAUAGGUGGGAGGCUAUGAAGACGUGACGCCAGUUGCGUUGGAGCCGUCCUUGAAAUACCACCCUUGUAUGUUUGAUGUUCUAACUUAGACCCGUUAUC